UAGUAAGUUGGCAGAAUAGUGCCACUGACUUAGGAUCGGUUCAUGGACUUCGUCCACUUACUAU
rnacentral:tRNA from 1 species